UGGGGAAUAUUGCACAAUGGAGGGAACUCUGAUGCAGCGACGCCGCGUGAACGAAGAAGGCUUUCGAGUCGUAAAGUUCUUUUAUAUGGGAAGAUAAUGACGGUACCAUAAGAAGAAGCCCCGGCUAACUACGUGCCAGCAGCCGCGGUAAUACGUAGGGGGCUAGCGUUGUCCGGAAUCACUGGGCGUAAAGGGUUCGCAGGCGGAAAUGCAAGUCAGGUGUAAAAGGCAGUAGCUUAACUACUGUAAGCAUUUGAAACUGCAUAUCUUGAGAAGAGUAGAGGUAAGUGGAAUUUUUAGUGUAGCGGUGGAAUGCGUAGAUAUUAAAAAGAAUACCGGUGGCGAAGGCGACUUACUGGGCUCAUUCUGACGCUGAGGAACGAAAGCGUGGGUAGCAAACAGG
rnacentral:rRNA from 1 species